UCCGGGUCAGGCUGAGCCGCCUGCUGCUCUUCGAGACUCCUGGAGGUGCCGCGCUGUCGGCGUUCCCUGCGCCUGGAGAGCCAGAGCAGCGGUGCCGCCGGGCGAAGCGCUGCGCUGCCCCGGGCCGCCCCCGAGGAGGAGACCUAGGGCCCGCCGCCGCGGGGUCGCGCCUCGGGCCUCCGCUGCGGUCCCUGGCAGGCGGGAGCCGGCGCUGCGGCGGAGCGCGACCCUCCUCCCCGGCCGCCCUGUCCACCUCGCCGGGGAAGGCGGAAGAUGCCAGUGAAGAAGAAAAGAAAAGCCCCCGGAGUGGCAGCGGCGGUCGCGGAAGACUCGGGCCUCAAAAAGUGUAAAAUCUCCAGCUAUUGCAGAUCCCAGCCGCCUGCCAGACUGAUCAGUGGAGAGGAAGAUUUUUCAAGAAAGAAGUGCCUGGCUUGGUUUUAUGAGUAUGCAGGUCCUGAUGAAGUUGUAGGGCCAGAAGGAAUGGAAAAAUUUUGUGAAGACAUUGGUGUUGAACCUGAAAAUAUUAUUAUGUUAGUUUUAGCGUGGAAAUUGGAGGCUGAAAGCAUGGGAUUUUUUACCAAGGAAGAAUGGUUAAAGGGAAUGACCUCAUUACAGUGUGACUGCACAGAAAAGUUACAGAGCAGAUUUGAUUUUCUGCGCUCACAGCUGAAUGACAUCUCAUCGUUUAAGAAUAUCUACAGAUACGCCUUUGAUUUUGCAAGGGAUAAAGAUCAGAGAAGCCUUGAUAUUGAUACUGCUAAGUCUAUGUUAGCACUGCUGCUUGGGAGAACGUGGCCACUCUUUUCAGUAUUUUACCAGUACCUGGAGCAAUCAAAGUAUCGUGUUAUGAACAAAGAUCAGUGGUACAAUGUAUUAGAAUUCAGCAGAACAGUUCAUGCCGAUCUUAGUAACUACGAUGAAGAUGGUGCUUGUUUCAGAGGUUGGAACCAAGUAGUGGCUUGUGUUGAACUUGCUCUCCAGUUUGGCAGUCCACGCAGUAUUCCAACAUUGCCAUUUACUGCUUUGCCUGCCCGGCUGUUUUUGUAUGGUCUGCUAAAAGCAAGAGAGAAAAGAACACCCAGAGGUUUUAUGUUUUGAGAAAAACAAGACAAGCAUAUCUCUUCGUGGUCAUACUUUCCAUACAUUUUGAAAUACUGAAUUCCAUACAUCACAAAUACUGAAAUCUCAUUUAAAUUGCCCACUUGGCUUCUGUUGGGCCUGUUCUUCUUGAUGAAUUUGUUGAGUGGCAAAAAAUCCGCCAAACAUCAUAGCAAGAACUGUUGUGAAGAAGAUGCAGAAGGGGAGGAUAUACAAGGGUGCAUUUUCAC